CUCGUUCCUCGUUUUGCAGUGGAAAUCCUUUUUUGCUUGGACUUCAUCUGUCAAAUCUUGAGGCAAAAAAGAUUGCAACGUAAAGCGGGAAACAGC
rnacentral:sRNA from 1 species